GGCCAAGCUACUAAGGGCAAACGGUGGAUGCCUUGGCGUCAAGAGGCGAUGAAAGACGUGGUAGGCUGCGAUAAGCUUCGGAGAGCCGCCUAACAGGCUUUGACCCGGAGAUCUCUGAAUGGGGAAACCCGUCCAGGGUAGUGUCUGGACAUCCGUAACUGAAUACAUAGGUUGCGGAGGCGAACGAGGUGAACUGAAACAUCUAAGUAACCUCAGGAAGAGAAAACAACAGUGAUUUCCUAAGUAGCGGCGAGCGAACGGGAAAUAGCCCAAACCUAGUGCAUGCCAAGCUCAGAGGCGUUGUGCGCUGGGGGUCGUGGGAUUCGAUCGGACGGAGCUCUGAAUCCGUCGGGAAGUUACCAACCUGUUUUAUAGUAGAACCGUCUGGAAAGUCGGGCCAUAGAGGGUGACAGCCCCGUAUGCGAAAUAAAGCAGGCUUCCUGGAUUGGACACCCAAGUACCGCGGGACACGAGAAACCCUGUGGGAAUUCGGGAGGACCAUCUCCUAAGGCUAAAUACUACUUGACGACCGAUAGCGAACCAGUACCGUGAGGGAAAGGUGAAAAGAACCCUUUAUAAGGGAGUGAAAUAGAACCUGAAACCGUUUGCUUACAAGCAGUGGGAGGGUUAUGGAAUCGGCUUCGGCCCUUUCCGGCCUGACCGCGUGCCUUUUGCAUAAUGAGUCAGCGAGUUACUUUACGUAGCAAGGUUAAGCCGUUAGGUGUAGCCGCAGCGAAAGCGAGUCCGAAAUGGGCGAAUUAGUUGCGUGGAGUAGACCCGAAGCCAAGUGAUCUAUCCAUGGGCAGGGUGAAGCGCCAGUAAAAUGGCGUGGAGGCCCGAACCGCCGUAGGUUGAAAACUGCUCGGAUGACCUGUGGAUAGGGGUGAAAGGCCAAUCAAACUUGGAAAUAGCUGGUUCUCCCCGAAAUAUAUUUAGGUAUAGCCUCGCGUAAUUAAGUGACGGGGGUAGAGCACUGGAUGGGCUAGGGGUCCUACCAGAUUACCAAACCUAACCAAACUCCGAAUACCGUUAACUUCUAUCGCGGGAGUCAGACUACGGGAGCUAAGUUCCGUGGUCGAGAGGGAAACAGCCCAGAUCGCCAGCUAAGGUCCCUAAGUGUGUGCUAAGUGGGAAAGGAUGUGGAAACGCGGAGACAACCAGGAGGUUGGCUUAGAAGCAGCCAUCCUUUAAAGAAAGCGUAAUAGCUCACUGGUCAAGUGGGUCUGCGCCGAAGAUGUAACGGGGCUCAAGCACACCACCGAAGCUGCGGGAUAUAUACUAUGUAUGUAUCGGUAGGGGAGCAUUCUGUGCGGGCUGAAGGUCGACCGUAAGGACGGCUGGACUGUUCAGAAGAGACCAUGCUGACAUGAGUAGCGAUAAAACGGGUGAGAAACCCGUUCGCCGUAAACCCAAGGUUUCCUGAGUAAAGCUAAUCUUCUCAGGGUUAGUCGAUCCCUAAGCCGAGGCCGAAAGGCGUAGGUGAUGGAAAACAGGUUAAUAUUCCUGUACCACCAGAUAAUCGUUAUCAGCGAUGGGGGGACGCAGGAGGGUAGAUGAUCCGCGUGUUGGAAUACGCGGUUUAAGCACGUAGGCUGGGAGAGCAGGCAAAUCCACUUUCCUAAGGCCGAGAUGCGAAUACGAGAGACAUUGUCUCAUAAAGUCAUUAAUCCCAUGCUGCCAAGAAAAGCCUCUAGUGAGAUUAUCAGGUGAUCGUACCGCAAACCGACACAGGUGGGUGGGGAGAGUAUCCCAAGGCGCUUGAGAGAACCCUGGUUAAGGAACUCGGCAAAAUGACACCGUAACUUCGGGAGAAGGUGUGCCUCUGUUGGUGAUGUAAUUUACUUAUUGAGCUGACGGAGGUCGCAGAGAAAUGGCGGUAGCGACUGUUUACUAAAAACAUAGGACUCUGCUAAGUCGCAAGACGAUGUAUAGGGUCUGACGCCUGCCCGGUGCCGGAAGGUUAAGGGGACUUGUUAUCCACCUCGGUGGAGAAGCUGGGAACCGAAGCCCCGGUAAACGGCGGCCGUAACUAUAACGGUCCUAAGGUAGCGAAAUUCCUUGUCGGGUAAGUUCCGACCUGCACGAAUGGCGUAACGACUUCCGCACUGUCUCAACCAGGGACUCAGCGAAAUUGUAUUGGCGGUGAAGAUGCCGUCUACCCGCGAAAAGACGGAAAGACCCCGGCACCUUUACUACAGCUUGACAUUGGGUUUUGGAACAUCGUGUGUAGGAUAGGUGGGAGACUAUGAAACCGGAACGCCAGUUUCGGUGGAGUCACCCUUGAAAUACCACCCUCGUUGUUUUAGGGCUCUAACUCCGACCCGUUAUCCGGGCGGAGAACAGUGUCUGGCGGGUAGUUUGACUGGGGCGGUCGCCUCCCAAAGAGUAACGGAGGCGCGCGAAGGUUCCCUCAGGCUGAUUGGAAACCAGCCGUAGAGUGCAAAGGCAUAAGGGAGCUUGACUGCGAGAGAGACAUUUCGAGCAGGUACGAAAGUAGGUCUUAGUGAUCCGGCGGUCCCGAAUGGAAGGGCCGUCGCUCAUCGGCUAAAAGGUACGCCGGGGAUAACAGGCUUAUCGCCCCCAAGAGUUCACAUCGACGGGGCGGUUUGGCACCUCGAUGUCGGCUCAUCACAUCCUGGGGCUGGAGCAGGUCCCAAGGGUUUGGCUGUUCGCCAAUUAAAGUGGUACGUGAGCUGGGUUUAAAACGUCGUGAGACAGUUUGGUCCCUAUCUUUCGUGGGCGUAGGAUAUUUGAGAGGAUCUGCUCCUAGUACGAGAGGACCGGAGUGGACGAACCUCUGGUGGUCCUGUUGUCGCGCCAGCGGCAUAGCAGGGUAGCUAUGUUCGGAAAGGAUAACCGCUGAAAGCAUCUAAGCGGGAAGCCCCCCUCAAGAUAAGAUAUCCCUUUGCAUGGAGACAUGCGAACUUAAGACCCCUUGUAGACUACAAGGUUGAUAGGCCGGGUGUGUACGCAUAGUGAUAUGUUUAGCUUACCGGUACUAAUCGGUCGUGCGGCUUGGCCAC
rfam:Desulfatibacillum alkenivorans AK-01, complete genome.